UACGAAGGGGGCUAGCGUUGCUCGGAAUCACUGGGCGUAAAGCGCACGUAGGCGGACUCUUAAGUCGGUGGUGAAAUCCUGGAGCUCAACUCCAGAACUGCCUUCGAUACUGAGAGUCUCGAGUCCGAGAGAGGUGAGUGGAACUGCGAGCGUAGAGGUGAAAUUCGUAGAUAUUCGCAAGAACACCAGUGGCGAAGGCGGCUCACUGGCUCGGUACUGACGCUGAGGUGCGAAAGCGUGGGGAGCAAACAGG
rnacentral:rRNA from 1 species